UACGUAGGGGGCAAGCGUUGUCCGGAUUUAUUGGGCGUAAAGAGCGUGUAGGCGGCCAAGCAGGUCAGCUGUGAAAACUCGAGGCUCAACCUCGAGACGUCGGUUGAAACCGCUUGGCUAGAGUCCGGAAGAGGAGAGUGGAAUUCCCGGUGUAGCGGUGAAAUGCGCAGAUAUCGGGAAGAACACCCGUGGCGAAGGCGGCUCUCUGGGACGGUACUGACGCUGAGGCGCGAAGGCCAGGGGAGCAAACGGG
rnacentral:rRNA from 1 species